AGUGAACGCUGGCGGUAGGCCUAACACAUGCAAGUCGAACGGCAGCACAGGAGAGCUUGCUCUCUGGGUGGCGAGUGGCGGACGGGUGAGGAAUACAUCGGAAUCUACUCUGUCGUGGGGGAUAACGUAGGGAAACUUACGCUAAUACCGCAUACGACCUACGGGUGAAAGCAGGGGACCUUCGGGCCUUGCGCGAUUGAAUGAGCCGAUGUCGGAUUAGCUAGUUGGUGGGGUAAAGGCCCACCAAGGCGACGAUCCGUAGCUGGUCUGAGAGGAUGAUCAGCCAAACUGGAACUGAGACACGGUCCAGACUCCUACGGGAGGCAGCAGUGGGGAAUAUGGGACAAUGGGCGCAAGCCUGAUCCAGCCAUACCGCGUGGGUGAAGAAGGCCUUCGGGUUGUAAAGCCCUUUUGUUGGGAAAGAAAUCCAGCUGGCUAAUACCCGGUUGGGAUGACGGUACCCAAAGAAUAAGCACCGGCUAACUUCGUGCCAGCAGCCGCCGCGG
rnacentral:rRNA from 1 species